GAGGCUGCCUGGCCGUGCCGGUAUUACAGUAAUACCGCAAUACAAAUGCAGAUAUUUUUCUUAGUAUAAACUGAACAAUACCAGCGCCGGCCAGUAGGGGUCAGUGUGUGUGAGACAUAGGGACAUUGGGAGACACAGAGACAUUAAUGACCGUGUCUCCAUGUCUUCCAGUGUCCCCAUGUCUCCCAGCCAGUGUCCCCAUGGCUCCCAGUGUACCCUGGUCUCCCAGUGUCUGUGUCCCUAGUGUCCCCAUGGCUCCCACUGCCCCCAUGUCUCUGUGUCCCUAAUGUUUCAGUGUCCCCAUGGUUUCCAGUGCCCCCAUGUUUCCCAGUGUCCCCAAAUGUCUGUGUCCCCACAUGUCUCCCAGCCAAUGUCCCUAGUGUCUCAGUGUCCCUAUGUCUCUCAGUAUCACUAGUGUCCCCAUGUUUCCCAGUGUCCCCAAAUGUCUGUGUCCCCAUGUCUCUCAGUGUGUGUUCCCAUGUCUCUGUGUCCCUAGUGUCUUAGUGUCCCCAAAUGUCUGUGUCCCUAGUGUCUGUGUCUCCAUGUCUCCCAGGGACCCCAAUUGUCUUAGUGUCCCCAUGUCUGUGUCCCCUUGUAUCCUAGUGACACAGGACACACUGAGACAUGGGGACACUGGGAGCAAUGAAGACACAGACACUGGGAAACUAGUGGAGUGGGUGACAUGGGGACACUGACACUGACACUGUGAUACAUAGGGAAACUGAUGCCAGGCUGGCCUUCCAAUUCUUUGGGCAGAUAUGCCCCCUUUUUGGGCAUUUUUGCUCUUUUUGGCAGUUCUGGUCACAUGAUUUUGUGUCAGUGACCCACUCUUUUACACCGCCCAUUGACUUCCUUCUUCUCUGGACACUGCUGUUAGGGGGAAUGGAUUUACUUGAAAGAUGAAAGCAUUUAUUAGAGAGAGAUUAGCAUAUUUUAAGAGAAUCUGCGUUUUCUUAUAGCUGCAUCCUAUGAGUUUCCUUCUGGCACCAUCUCCAUCAGAUACAUAACGCUUGAGAGGUAUGACUGUUUUAGUGUUUUUGGUCGAUAAGAUUCUGUAAUUAGGCCCCUCAUAAUUGUCAGCAGCAGGCCCACUGAGCUCUUAAUCUGGCCCUGCCUUUAGUGCAGGGAUGCCCACAGGUAGAUGGCCAGAUGUUUUAAAACUACAACUUCCUUGUCUGCUCUAAUGCCUGUCUUCCUAUCUAAAUGCUGGAGUUUUUUUAAC